GUGCUCGCUUCGGCAGCACACAUACUAAAAUUGGAACAAUACAGAGAAGAUGAACAUUUUCCCUGCGAGAGAUGACACACAGAUUUGUGAUGUGUUACAUAUUAAA